GACGAACGCUGGCGGCGUGCCUAAUACAUGCAAGUAGAACGCUGAAGAGAGGAGCUUGCUCUUCUUGGAUGAGUUGCGAACGGGUGAGUAACGCGUAGGUAACCUGCCUUGUAGCGGGGGAUAACUAUUGGAAACGAUAGCUAAUACCGCAUAACAAUGGAUGACACAUGUCAUUUAUUUGAAAGGGGCAAUUGCUCCACUACAAGAUGGACCUGCGUUGUAUUAGCUAGUAGGUGAGGUAAUGGCUCACCUAGGCGACGAUACAUAGCCGACCUGAGAGGGUGAUCGGCCACACUGGGACUGAGACACGGCCCAGACUCCUACGGGAGGCAGCAGUAGGGAAUCUUCGGCAAUGGGGGCAACCCUGACCGAGCAACGCCGCGUGAGUGAAGAAGGUUUUCGGAUCGUAAAGCUCUGUUGUAAGUCAAGAACGGGUGUGAGAGUGGAAAGUUCACACUGUGACGGUAGCUUACCAGAAAGGGACGGCUAGCUACGUG
rnacentral:rRNA from 1 species